UGUCUUGGUAGCUCAAUGGUUAGAGCAUAGAGUUGAAGAUUCUUGUGUUAUAGGUUCAAAUCCUAUUCAAGACAA
rnacentral:tRNA from 1 species